AGCUGCGUUCUUUUCUCUGGUUUCCCUGGAGAAACAGAUUCGAUUCCCCUAAACUCUCACCGACACACGCGGUCGAUUCGAAGCCUUUGGAGACGUAUCUUAGUGGUAGAGCGCUUACCUAGCAAGUGUAAUUCCCUGGGAUCGACCCAGCACCGAGCCAGCGGCGGUAAUCCGGGAAUAAUUUAACUCAAACUAAGAGUGGCCCGGAGGGAGAGAAGCUCUGGCCUAAACAGAUGUCAAUAGUAGUCCUGCCUGGGUGCUGUUAUUGUCCCUCCUGCUACUACACUCCAAGUCUGGGUUUGGAGGAUGAGCAUGCCCUGCAGAACGGGAUGUGUGAACCGGCUGAUUGUAGGUGGCUGCAGAGGCCAGGAGGCAUCAGAUUCCCUGCAGAACUGGAGUUACCGGCGGUUGUGAGCCACUUGAUGUGGGUGCUGAGAAUUGAACCUGGGUCUCUCCAGCUUCUGCUCUCCCCUCCGCCUUUAGUUUUUUGAGAGUGGAUCUGAUGAAGCUCAGAACUGGUCUUGAACUCCCAAUCUCCAGCCUCCACCUUCCAAGUGCUGAGUGAGAAUGACGUGGAAUCAGUCUCUUGCAGUACUGUACUGAAAAGAAAAAAAUCUUCUCUUGCAGUGCUGGGAACAAGUCUAGGGUCUCUCAGCUAGGGAACUUCAUCCCCAAUCCCUAUUAGACCUUUAUUCAUCAGCCCUAAGGUCCAUAUCUCUGGUUUAGUGAAGAAAUGAAUGCCUCAAGGAGGCAGAGCUGGCACAUGGCCCCUAGAGUUCCCACGGCCACACCCACAAUCUUUCAAUUCCUUGCAUUGGAACUCCAUUCAGCUACCACUGAGAUUCCCAGCAGAAAUAAGGGAGGAAGCCUGCAAUCCCAGAACUGGUGAGGCUGAGGCAAGAAGAUUGCAAUGAGUUCAAGACCAGCCUGGGAUACACAACGCUCUACGGAGGAAGUGCAGAGGCAGAGGGCGACCCAAACUGAAGUUUAGAACUCUAAGAAUCUUCAUUUCCAUCUGUCUGAUUUGAUGCUUAGUAACCCAUGUAAAGGUGGAAGGAGAACCAAUCUUGAAAGCUGUCCUGACCCCGCCCCCGACGCACACCCACACCACCCAGUCACAGAGGACCAAAUUAACCUGAGAAGACAGCGCUGGGGACGCAGUUCAGUGGGAAAGUACCCGCUUAGCAUGCACAA